UGCAUAUCAAUAAGCGGAGGAAAAGAAACCAACAGGGAUUGCCUCAGUAACGGCGAGUGAAGCGGCAAGAGCUCAAAUUUGAAAGCUGGCCCCCUCGGGGUCCGCAUUGUAAUUUGCAGAGGAUGCUUCGGGAGUGGCCCCCAUCUAAGUGCCCUGGAACGGGCCGUCAUAGAGGGUGAGAAUCCCGUCUGGGAUGGGGUGCCCACGCCCGUGUGAAGCUCCUUCGACGAGUCGAGUUGUUUGGGAAUGCAGCUCUAAAUGGGUGGUAAAUUUCAUCUAAAGCUAAAUACUGGCCGGAGACCGAUAGCGCACAAGUAGAGUGAUCGAAAGAUGAAAAGCACUUUGAAAAGAGAGUUAAACAGCACGUGAAAUUGUUGAAAGGGAAGCGCUUGCGACCAGACUCGCCUGUAGGGUUCAGCCGGCAUUCGUGCCGGUGUACUUCCCUGCGGGCGGGCCAGCGUCGGUUUGGGCGGCCGGUCAAAGGCCCUUGGAAUGUAACGCCCCCCGGGGCGUCUUAUAGCCAAGGGUGCCAUGCGGCCAGCCCGGACCGAGGAACGCGCUUCGGCUCGGACGCUGGCAUAAUGGUCGUAAGCGACCCGUCUUGAAACACGGACCA
rnacentral:rRNA from 1 species